AGUCCUCUUCUUACCAGGUCCUGAGGUGAUUACAUAUUGAAUUGCAAAUUCAAAGAAGCAGCUUCAAUUCUGCCGGGACUU
rnacentral:tRNA from 1 species